rnacentral:rRNA from 1 species
AAAUGAAUUGACGGGGGCCCGCACAAGCGGAGGAACAUGUGGUUUAAUUCGAUGAUACGCGAGGAACCUUACCCGGGCUUGAAAGUUAUCGACGGACCGUGAAAGCGGUCUUCCCUUCGGGGCGAGAAACUAGGUGCUGCAUGGUUGUCGUCAGCUCGUGCCGUGAGGUGUCGGCUUAAGUGCCAUAACGAGCGCAACCCUUGUCUCCAGUUGCCAACGAGUAAAGUCGGGGACUCUGGAGAGACUGCCACCGCAAGGUGUGAGGAAGGCGGGGAUGACGUCAAAUCAGCACGGCCCUUACGUCCGGGGCGACACACGUGUUACAAUGGGGGGUACAGAGGGUAGCGACAACGCGAGUUGAAGCCAAUCUCAGAAAGCCCUUCUCAGUUCGGAUCGGAGUCUGCAACUCGACUCCGUGAAGCUGGAUUCGCUAGUAAUCGCGCAUCAGCCAUGGCGCGGUGAAUACGUUCCCGGGCCUUGUACACACCGCCCGU